rnacentral:lncRNA from 1 species
UACCCUGAAAUUGAAAAAUCUGGCAACUUCUAUAACUACAGGUAAAACUAUCUUGAUUCACAGAGAUAUCACCAUGCAAGGAGAUGGCCACUGGUAUCGAGGCAUCAGGUUGCUGUCUGAAAUGGAGAAGAGCAUAUAGCAGUAUAAGCCCGGCAGGAACAUUUAGGCCAUCCCUGCCAGGGAUCUGUUGGAGGCCUGCUUCAUGCAACAUACUUCACUGGGUACUGUCAGGAGGGUGAGGAAGCACAAGAUUUGAGCUUGAAAGCUGCUUGGAGAGUGAAUACAUGUAUAUUUGAAAACAACAACAACAACAACAAAACCCGACAGUCCCACCUCAAAGCAACGCCCAGUGCAGAGAGGAUGAAUCAUACGGACGAGAUGCUGCAGAUGUCUGCAGGAUGGGGAGCAAUUAUACAAGCACAGACAAAAACAGCAUCACUGUGCAAACCACAGAAGGACCAAACAUCUCCUCCCCUGGUGGACAGGACCAACUGCAGGCAGCAGCUAGGCCUGGUCUUCCCUUUCUGGUAAGAUCCCCCAAGAUCCCCAGUGUGGAAUAAUCCCUGCUUGCUGACCACACAGUGCCAUAGCCAACCCCUGCCUCCCCAGAGCCUGAAACCCUUAAUGAGUCCCCCACAGCCCCAGCCCACUGAGGUCUGUCUGGGCCCUAGGCGUGCCGCCUCCUUCCAGCCGUAAGCAUGAGCCCAGCCUGCACACGGGAGUCCCGUCAGCCUUGGCUGUAGGCAUUGAGGAGGCAUGGGGGGCUUAUGAUGUGGGAUGUGCUGGCUGGAGCUGG